GGGGAAUUUUGGACAAUGGGCGCAAGCCCGAUCCAGCCAUGCCGCGUGUCUGAAGAAGGCCUUCGGGUUGUAAAGGACUUUUGUCAGGGAAGAAAAGGCUGUUGCUAAUAUCAGCGGCUGAUGACGGUACCUGAAGAAUAAGCACCGGCUAACUACGUGCCAGCAGCCGCGGUAAUACGUAGGGUGCGAGCGUUAAUCGGAAUUACUGGGCGUAAAGCGAGCGCAGACGGUUACUUAAGCAGGAUGUGAAAUCCCCGGGCUCAACCUGGGAACUGCGUUCUGAACUGGGUGACUAGAGUGUGUCAGAGGGAGGUAGAAUUCCACGUGUAGCAGUGAAAUGCGUAGAGAUGUGGAGGAAUACCGAUGGCGAAGGCAGCCUCCUGGGAUAAUACUGACGUUCAUGCUCGAAAGCGUGGGUAGCAAACAGGAUUAGAUACCCUGGUAGUCCACGCCCUAAACGAUGUCGAUUAGCUGUUGGGCAGCUUGACUGCUUAGUAGCGUAGCUAACGCGUGAAAUCGACCGCCUGGGGAGUACGGUCGCAAGAUUA
rnacentral:rRNA from 1 species